rnacentral:rRNA from 1 species
CUGCCCUACGGGGGGCAGCAGUGGGGAAUAUUGGACAAUGGGGGAAACCCUGAUCCAGCGACGCCGCGUGAGUGAAGAAGUAUUUCGGUACGUAAAGCUCUAUCAGCAGGAAAGAAAAUGACGGUACCUGACUAAGAAGCCCCGGCUAACUACGUGCCAGCAGCCGCGGUAAUACGUAGGGGGCAAGCGUUAUCCGGAUUUACUGGGUGUAAAGGGAGCGCAGGCGGUCUGGCAAGUCUGAUGUGAAAUACCGGAGCUCAACUCCGGGACUGCAUUGGAAACUGUCAGACUGGAGUGUCGG